UUGAAUAAACUUGAACAGGCUGUUGCUGGCCCCUCUUGAAGGGAUAAGUGCACACUUGUCAUCUUUAUUUCUCCAACUGUGCACAUAUUGUAGACUCUGGAUUUAGGAUUGCUGUUCGUUCAGCUUUGCCUUGCACUUUUUUCAGAUCUAUGUUAUUUUUCACAAUCUCUGAAUGUGUCAGAAUGUUGAAUAUAUAUCAUAUGUAUA
rnacentral:misc_RNA from 1 species